GAUGAACGCUGGCGGCGUGCCUAAUACAUGCAAGUCGAGCGAAUGGAUUAAGAGCUUGCUCUUAUGAAGUUAGCGGCGGACGGGUGAGUAACACGUGGGUGACCUGCCCAUAAGACUGGGAUAACUCCGGGAAACCGGGGCUAAUACCGGAUAACAUUUUGAACCGCAUGGUUCGAAAUUGAAAGGCGGCUUCGGCUGUCACUUAUGGAUGGACCCGCGUCGCAUUAGCUAGUUGGUGAGGUAACGGCUCACCAAGGCAACGAUGCGUGGCCGACCUGAGAGGGUGAUCGGCCACACUGGGACUGGGACACGGCCCAGACGCCUACGGGAGGCAGCAGUAGGGAAUCUUCCGCAAUGGACGAAAGUCUGACGGAGCAACGCCGCGUGAGUGAUGAAGGCUUUCGGGUCGUAAAACUCUGUUGUUAGGGAAGAACAAGUGCUAGUUGAAUAAGCUGGCACCUUGACGGUACCUAACCAGAAAGCCACGGCUAACUACGUGCCAGCCGCCGCAGUAA
rnacentral:rRNA from 1 species